AGAAAAAAUAAGUGUUGAUGGCUUUUAAUUCUAGUAAUCAAUUGAAUUGUUUUAGAAGUACAUGUAUUAGGUGUAGAGGAAGGAGAGAAUCUGUGUAUUACAGUUGAUUGACUUACUCAUGAGGUGUGUUUACAUACAUUUACAACAUUAUUGUUUUAAAAUUUGAAAUAGAUUUUCCUAAUCUCUGCAACUUAAAUUUUUUUCGAUACAAACAAAGAAAAAAGUUCUUCAAAAUUAAUAGGACUCUGUGAAAUACUCGCCCAUGUUUUUUUAUGAGAACUGUAAUACUGUUCACUGAUUGGUGGACUGUAUCGGAAUCACGACCAUAUUUUUCUCCCAGUACAGUCGGUGUGCUACCAAGUCAGAAUGUCAUAGAUCUGUCAAACUAUUUUGUAUAUAAACUGUAUAUUUUACAAUUAAUUAAAGUCAAAAUUAAAAAUAU
rnacentral:misc_RNA from 1 species